AUCUUUUCUGGUUCAUAAGCAUGAUGAGUGGGUUUUCACAUAUUUGUGUGAUUUCUGCCUCCUUUAAAUUUUGUUAUGACGUUGGCACAUUACCCUUCUGAUG